AGCUUUGCGCAGUGGCGAUAUCGUAACCAAUGAGGUUUUAACGAGGUGCGAUUAUUGCUAGUUGAAAACUAUAGCUAAUUUUAUAAUUAAAUUGCCAUAGACUGUUAGGUGCAUUCGAUAGGUACAAAAAUAUUAAGAAU